rnacentral:rRNA from 1 species
UACGUAGGGUGCAAGCGUUGUCCGGAAUUACUGGGCGUAAAGCGCGUGUAGGUGGUGGGACAAGUCUGCUGUGAAAGCGCCUGGCUUAACCGGGCGAGGUCGGCGGAAACUGUCCGACUCGAGGACGGUAGAGGGGGGUGGAAUUCCCGGUGUAGUGGUGAAAUGCGUAGAGAUCGGGAGGAACACCUGUGGCGAAGGCGGCCCCCUGGGCCGGCCCUGACACUGAGACGCGAAGGCGUGGGGAGCGAACGGG